rnacentral:rRNA from 1 species
UACGUAGGGUGCAAGCGUUAAUCGGAAUUACUGGGCGUAAAGCGUGCGCAGGCGGUUGUGUAAGGCCGAUGUGAAAUCCCCGGGCUCAACCUGGGAACUGCAUUUGUGACUGCACGGCUGGAGUGCGGCAGAGGGGGAUGGAAUUCCGCGUGUAGCAGUGAAAUGCGUAGAUAUGCGGAGGAACACCGAUGGCGAAGGCAAUCCCCUGGGCCUGCACUGACGCUCAUGCACGAAAGCGUGGGGAGCAAACAGG